rnacentral:rRNA from 1 species
GAUGAACGCUAGCUACAGGCUUAACACAUGCCAGUCGAGGGGAAACGACAUCGCAAGCUUGCUUUUGAUGGGCGUCGACCGGCGCACGGGUGAGUAACGCGUAUCCAACCUGCCCAUCACUUGGGAAUAACCUUGCGAAAGUAAGACUAAUACCCAAUGAUAUCCCACGAAGGCAUCGGAAUGGGAUUAAAGAUUUAUCGGUGAUGGAUGGGGAUGCGUCUGAUUAGCUUGUUGGCGGGGUAACGGCCCACCAAGGCAACGAUCAGUAGGGGUUCUGAGAGGAAGGUCCCCCACAUUGGAACUGAGACACGGUCCAAACUCCUACGGGAGGCAGCAGUGAGGAAUAUUGGUCAAUGGGCGAGAGCCUGAACCAGCCAAGUAGCGUGCAGGAAGACGGCCCUAUGGGUUGUAAACUGCUUUUAUAAGGGAAUAAAGUGGGUCACGUGUGACUUUUUGCAUGUACCUUAUGAAUAAGGACCGGCUAAUUCCGUG